rnacentral:misc_RNA from 1 species
CGCACCUUGCGCUCUUUGGUAUUCCGAAGAGCAUGCCUGUUUGAGUGUCAUGAAAUUCUCAAGGGAAUAUACUUUGUUGUAUACAACCUUGGACCUGGAGGUUGUUGGCGCAAGUCAACUCUUCUUAAAUACAUUAGCUGGGGUUUUUGUAUGUGGAUCCUUGGUGUGAUAAUUAUCUACGCCUCGAUGUCCCCUCAAGCCUUGCUUCUAGUCGUCGUAAAAGACAAUCAUUUCAAUCUCUGACCUCAAAUCAGGUAGGACUACCCGCUGAACUUAA